UCAAAGUCGGAGUCAUUUCCUUGAAUUAUGAAAGUUUGGCGAAGGUCAGAUCUCAAACUUGAUGACAGAAAUAAUAAAAGAUGAGUUAGAGGAGAAGUUGUGGUGAAAGCAGCAGAGAACCGCGCAGCUCUGGUUGGAUGCGCAGAGGCGAGGACUGAUGCUCACUCAGUCUCCUAGCAACAGGAAACAUCUGCCUCCGAGAGGACCAAUCAGCGUCGUCUCCUGUUGCUGUGAACGGAGAUAUUUUAGGAGUCUGGAGCUCGGCAGCGAGUCUCACCCCCCGACAGGAGCUGGAGCUCUGCACCCCGCGUCCCCACCUCCAUCCAUCCAUCCGUCCGUCCAUCCGUCCGUCCGUCCGUCCGUCCGCAGGAACCGACACGGACUCAGACUUCAGGCCGAGCUGGAGCGACGACAGGUCGGUGUGAGGACGCUGGAUGUUCCCCGGAGAUAAAGAGAGAAACAGCUUCUUUAACCGGGAUUUACAGCAGCGGGACUCGGUUUAAUACGAAGGAGCCCGUGGGCGAUGUGGAGGCUCAGAUCAGCUCUGGUUUAAACUCCGGUCAGAGAUCUGAGAGUCUGUCUGAGGAGCAUCAGCGGCAGCGGCGCCUUCCCCACGAGAGAGACCAAACCAGUCAACAACGUCGAAAGUUGCUUACUUCAAGAGGAAAUAUGCGGAGGAGGAGGAUCUACACGGAGGCCUACAUGGAUAUUUACAAAAACACUUGAUCCUGCAGGAAGACCGGAGCUGCAUCCUGAAGCUGUCCCUGGAGAAGCUGAGGUUCCUGGAGGACCCGGAGGCCUACCUCCGCCGCUCCGUCCUCAUCAACAACCUGCUGAGGAAGAUCCACCACGAGGAGGAGGAGCUGGAGGCCGAGGAGGAGGAGGAUGAGGAGGAGGAGGAGGAGGAUGAGGAUGAGGUAGAGGAGGAAGAAGAAGAGGAGGAGGAGGAGGAGGAGGAGGGGGUUAUUGGGGGGAGGGGGCAGCGGAGGCUCAUGUACCCGGACAGGAAGAGGGUGAAGGUGCUGGUGACGGACUGCUGCUCUCCGGCGUUCGGCCUGGAGGAGCUGCAGCGUUACCGCCUGGUUCCCUGCUACCCGACGGCCGGCUGCCUCUACAGCCACCAGGUCCUCCUGUACAACCUGGACGACCACGGCUGACUACAGCCCCCACAACCCCCCCCUCGAUGACAUGAUCCUCUUCAAAACUACCAGAUCAGACAGGAGGAGAUCUGCUCCCCCUCGGUUUACAACUCAAACCUUCAGAGGGACUCGUGUCUCCAGCUCUGAGACUUCUUCUUCUUCUUCUUCUUCUUCUUCUUCUUCUUCUUCUUCUUCUUCUUCUUCUUCUUCUUCUUCUCCCUCUUCUUCUUCUUCUCCUUCUUCUUCUUCUUCUUCUUCUUCUGUUGCCUCAGGAUGUUCAGGGUCUCCGGUGGUGAUGCCAGGCCUCUAUGUGCAGACGUGCGGGAGCUGAAACCGGCAGCUUGUUGUUGUUGUUGUGUCGCUGUUUUUGUUUGUUUCUUUGUUUUUUUGUUUUUUUAAUCGUCACUGAUUCAGGGAUCUUUACAGACUAUAUAUACGCAGGCUACUUCUGAUGCAGGACCUCCGCUGACAGCGUGCUUGUCUUUUGAUGCUACCGUGUGAGUUAUGAAAUCUUUUGUGUAACAUUCCCCGGACGCUGUGAAGUCUCCCUCCGUUUGAUUUCGUCUGCACUCUGCCGUCCUCUGCUGGACAAACAGUUCGUCAGUGGCUUGUGUUUAAACCCCAAAACGAUGUUAACAGACACAAGGGCUUCUUAAUGAAUUUGUCAGCGACGACAACACAUCCUGCUCUUGUACACGUGUAAAAAAAAAACAAAAAAACUAAACAAAGAAACACUGUUUUAAUCAUAGAACUGAUGCCAAAUACUGCACAUUUGAAACAUCAUAUUAAAGUUUCUAUUCAAUGUUUAGGAUGUGCUUAAAAUGUUCAGAUGCAAUCAUCUUACUUUGUUUAACCUUUUUUUUAAAAAACAAAAAUGAACAAAAGUCAUGCGACCAAAUCCAGUUUCUGUUAAAGAGUUGUUUUAAAGAUUUAUUUCCAGACAGCAGAAUGCCUUUAAGCAGAUAUUAAAAAAGCAGCUCAGAUGUUUUUGUUUUUUUUAAUUAAUGUGAUUAUUGAUGAUUCAUCUGUGUGUGUGUGUGUGUGUGUGUGUGUGUGUGUGUGUGUGUGUGUGUGUGUGUGUGUGUGCGUGUGUUCAGUGUCUGUUCAGGAGUUUUACCGAAAUGUGCAUCUCGAUAACAAUCACUAUAAUGGAAGAAAAGAAAAGAAAGAAAACAAAACUAAAGGCAACUAUUCAAGAGAAGGUUAAUAUUUUAAAGCAAGAAUUUAUAUUUUGAUGAAAAUGCAUAUUCCAUAUUUAAGAUAAACUAUUUUGAAAAAGGGCCGUGAAAACUUUUUUUUUCAGGUGACUGAUUAUCAGAUAAUAAUAAAGUAAUGUGAUGAUGGUU